GCUCUGCUCAGCGACCUUGCAACUCCUGCACACAGAUAAACCCCGCCAAGCUUGUCACCUCCAGCAAAGCCAGACCACAUGUACCAGACUUGAUGGGGACAGCUGUGGGAGAAAUCAUCGCUCUAAGAACGCUGGAGGGCCCUGGCAUCUCUGGAGUAAAUCUGGGAACCUCCAGGCUGAAGAACAGUGCAGAAAUCACAGCGCAGGACCAUCCUUCUAAUGGUUUUUUCACCGAAGAGCAUAGCAUUUAUUGAGCCCCUGGUGUGAAGCCCUUGGGUUUGAUGGCACGAGUGAUUCUAACAGAAGAAAAACAAAAUACCAGAAUGGCUUCUCUUCUGCCCUAAAGAUAACUCGGACUCAGCCCCUGUCCUCCGAAGCUUACCAUCCAGCUACAGAGAAAAGACUUGCAUUGGGCUCUUUUAAAGAAUAAGGCAGGAUAGUCUGGCACUAUGGGAUAGUCUCUAAUCCUAGCGACUCAAGAGGCUGAGAAAGGAAGAUCACAAUUUCCAGGCCAGCCUCAGCAACUUAGAGAGGCCCUAAGCAGAGACCCUGCCUCAAGAUAAGAAAUAAAAAGGGCUGGGAUGUAACUCAGUGAUAAAGUGUUCCUGGGUUCAAUCCCCAGUACAAAAAAAAAAAAAAAGGCAGGACAGGAUGUGACUAAGUGAAAAAUGUAACUGACAGUUAGUACAAAGCAUUUAGAGAAGUGGCAGCUCAAGGUGCUCUUCAGCUAAGCGGGAGGACUCAUCUCUCUAAUGUAAGUUCUGUUCUGCAAGAAUAAAGUGAAGCAAGUUCACUUCUAAGUUCUUCCACAGGCGACUGUUCCAUCUUAAAUCACACUUUGCAUGAGCAGAAGCUGUUUGGCAGUUCACCAAUGCCUAACUCAGUUUUAUUUGAGUGUGCCUUUAGAUUUGUCAGUCAUUCAACACAUAUUUAUUGCAUAUCAUGUUCAGAUCUGGAACUCGACUGGAUAGAGAGAACACAAUGACUAAAUCUCUCCUUGGGCAGGUCAAGAGGAAGAGGGAAGAGCCCUGUUUUACAGAAAGAAAACUGGCCCAGACAGAAAAGACAAAUACCCUAAGUGAUGAGGUGUGUCUGGCAGUACUGGUCCAAGAAUCAGCCUGCCCUUCAAAGUUGGCAAAGUCUUUGAUGAAUUAGAUCUAAACAGUUUUCUUUUCUUGCUCAGAACCAUAUCAACUUUACUCUGCAAGAAAAUCUAACUUAGGGCUGGAGUUGAAGCUCAAUGGUAGAGCACUUGCCUAGUAUGUGUGAGGCACUGGGUUUGAUUCUCAGGACCGCAUAUAAAAAAAUAAAUACAAUAAAGGUCCAUCAACAACUAAAAUAAAAAAAUUAAGAAUUAAGAAAAGAAAAUCGAACUUAACCAGCUUUUACUCCUGGAGAUGUGAGUUCCAAUCCUGCCUCUGUCAAUAAAUAGCUAUAGUUUUCUUACUAGAAAAUAAAUAAAUAAAUGGAAAUAACUGAGCUUAUUAAAGAGCUAUUGUUGGUAUCAAA